rnacentral:rRNA from 1 species
GAUGAACGCUAGCGAUAGGCCUAACACAUGCAAGUCGAGGGGCAGCAUAGAGUAGCAAUACUUUGAUGGCGACCGGCGCACGGGUGAGUAACACGUAUGCAACCUACCUACAUCAGGGGAAUAACCCGGAGAAAUUCGGACUAAUACCGCAUAAUACAGGGAUGCCGCAUGGCAAUAUUUGUUAAAGAUUUAUCGGAUGUAGAUGGGCAUGCGUUCCAUUAACUAGUUGGUGAGGUAACGGCUCACCAAGGCAACGGUCGAUAGGGGAACGGAGAGGUGUGUCCCCCACACUGGCACUGAGACACCGACCAGACUCCGCUGGGAGGCAGCCGUGAGGAAUAUGGGCAAUGGACGAGAGUCUGAACCAGACAGAUCGCGUGAAGGAAGACUGCCCUACGGGUUGUAAUCUUCUUUUGUACAGGAAAAAAAGACAUUACGUGUAAUGUAUUGCAUGUACUGUACGAAUAAGCAUCGGCUAACUCCGUGCCAGCCGCCGCUGUAA